CACGUAGGAGGCGAGCGUUAUCCGGAUUUACUGGGCGUAAAGAGCGUGUAGGCGGCCCGGUAAGUCCGCUGUAAAAGUCAAAGGCUCAACCUUUGAAUGUCAGUGGAUACUGCCGGGCUAGAGUCCGGAAGAGGCGAGUGGAACUCCUGGUGUAGCGGUGGAAUGCGCAGAUAUCAGGAAGAACACCAACGGCGAAGGCAGCUCGCUGGGACGGUACUGACGCUGAGACGCGAAAGCGUGGGGAGCGAACAGG
rnacentral:rRNA from 1 species